UUAAGCGACUAAGCGUACACGGUGGAUGCCCUGGCAGUCAGAGGCGAUGAAGGACGUGCUAAUCUGCGAUAAGCGUCGGUAAGGUGAUAUGAACCGUUAUAACCGGCGAUUUCCGAAUGGGGAAACCCAGUGUGUUUCGACACACUAUCAUUAACUGAAUCCAUAGGUUAAUGAGGCGAACCGGGGGAACUGAAACAUCUAAGUACCCCGAGGAAAAGAAAUCAACCGAGAUUCCCCCAGUAGCGGCGAGCGAACGGGGAGGAGCCCAGAGCCUGAAUCAGUAUGUGUGUUAGUGGAAGCGUCUGGAAAGGCGCGCGAUACAGGGUGACAGCCCCGUACACAAAAAUGCACAUAUUGUGAGCUCGAUGAGUAGGGCGGGACACGUGGUAUCCUGUCUGAAUAUGGGGGGACCAUCCUCCAAGGCUAAAUACUCCUGACUGACCGAUAGUGAACCAGUACCGUGAGGGAAAGGCGAAAAGAACCCCGGCGAGGGGAGUGAAAAAGAACCUGAAACCGUGUACGUACAAGCAGUGGGAGCACGCUUCGGCGUGUGACUGCGUACCUUUUGUAUAAUGGGUCAGCGACUUAUAUUCUGUAGCAAGGUUAACCGAAUAGGGGAGCCGAAGGGAAACCGAGUCUUAACUGGGCGUUAAGUUGCAGGGUAUAGACCCGAAACCCGGUGAUCUAGCCAUGGGCAGGUUGAAGGUUGGGUAACACUAACUGGAGGACCGAACCGACUAAUGUUGAAAAAUUAGCGGAUGACUUGUGGCUGGGGGUGAAAGGCCAAUCAAACCGGGAGAUAGCUGGUUCUCCCCGAAAGCUAUUUAGGUAGCGCCUCGUGAACUCAUCUCCGGGGGUAGAGCACUGUUUCGGCAAGGGGGUCAUCCCGACUUACCAACCCGAUGCAAACUGCGAAUACCGGAGAAUGUUAUCACGGGAGACACACGGCGGGUGCUAACGUCCGUCGUGAAGAGGGAAACAACCCAGACCGCCAGCUAAGGUCCCAAAGUCAUGGUUAAGUGGGAAACGAUGUGGGAAGGCCCAGACAGCCAGGAUGUUGGCUUAGAAGCAGCCAUCAUUUAAAGAAAGCGUAAUAGCUCACUGGUCGAGUCGGCCUGCGCGGAAGAUGUAACGGGGCUAAACCAUGCACCGAAGCUGCGGCAGCGACGCUGAUGCGUUGUUGGGUAGGGGAGCGUUCUGUAAGCCUGCGAAGGUGUGCUGUGAGGCAUGCUGGAGGUAUCAGAAGUGCGAAUGCUGACAUAAGUAACGAUAAAGCGGGUGAAAAGCCCGCUCGCCGGAAGACCAAGGGUUCCUGUCCAACGUUAAUCGGGGCAGGGUGAGUCGACCCCUAAGGCGAGGCCGAAAGGCGUAGUCGAUGGGAAACAGGUUAAUAUUCCUGUACUUGGUGUUACUGCGAAGGGGGGACGGAGAAGGCUAUGUUGGCCGGGCGACGGUUGUCCCGGUUUAAGCGUGUAGGCUGGUUUUCCAGGCAAAUCCGGAAAAUCAAGGCUGAGGCGUGAUGACGAGGCACUACGGUGCUGAAGCAACAAAUGCCCUGCUUCCAGGAAAAGCCUCUAAGCAUCAGGUAACAUCAAAUCGUACCCCAAACCGACACAGGUGGUCAGGUAGAGAAUACCAAGGCGCUUGAGAGAACUCGGGUGAAGGAACUAGGCAAAAUGGUGCCGUAACUUCGGGAGAAGGCACGCUGAUAUGUAGGUGAGGUCCCUCGCGGAUGGAGCUGAAAUCAGUCGAAGAUACCAGCUGGCUGCAACUGUUUAUUAAAAACACAGCACUGUGCAAACACGAAAGUGGACGUAUACGGUGUGACGCCUGCCCGGUGCCGGAAGGUUAAUUGAUGGGGUUAGCGGUAACGCGAAGCUCUUGAUCGAAGCCCCGGUAAACGGCGGCCGUAACUAUAACGGUCCUAAGGUAGCGAAAUUCCUUGUCGGGUAAGUUCCGACCUGCACGAAUGGCGUAAUGAUGGCCAGGCUGUCUCCACCCGAGACUCAGUGAAAUUGAACUCGCUGUGAAGAUGCAGUGUACCCGCGGCAAGACGGAAAGACCCCGUGAACCUUUACUAUAGCUUGACACUGAACAUUGAGCCUUGAUGUGUAGGAUAGGUGGGAGGCUUUGAAGUGUGGACGCCAGUCUGCAUGGAGCCGACCUUGAAAUACCACCCUUUAAUGUUUGAUGUUCUAACGUUGACCCGUAAUCCGGGUUGCGGACAGUGUCUGGUGGGUAGUUUGACUGGGGCGGUCUCCUCCUAAAGAGUAACGGAGGAGCACGAAGGUUGGCUAAUCCUGGUCGGACAUCAGGAGGUUAGUGCAAUGGCAUAAGCCAGCUUGACUGCGAGCGUGACGGCGCGAGCAGGUGCGAAAGCAGGUCAUAGUGAUCCGGUGGUUCUGAAUGGAAGGGCCAUCGCUCAACGGAUAAAAGGUACUCCGGGGAUAACAGGCUGAUACCGCCCAAGAGUUCAUAUCGACGGCGGUGUUUGGCACCUCGAUGUCGGCUCAUCACAUCCUGGGGCUGAAGUAGGUCCCAAGGGUAUGGCUGUUCGCCAUUUAAAGUGGUACGCGAGCUGGGUUUAGAACGUCGUGAGACAGUUCGGUCCCUAUCUGCCGUGGGCGCUGGAGAACUGAGGGGGGCUGCUCCUAGUACGAGAGGACCGGAGUGGACGCAUCACUGGUGUUCGGGUUGUCAUGCCAAUGGCACUGCCCGGUAGCUAAAUGCGGAAGAGAUAAGUGCUGAAAGCAUCUAAGCACGAAACUUGCCCCGAGAUGAGUUCUCCCUGACCCUUUAAGGGUCCUGAAGGAACGUUGAAGACGACGACGUUGAUAGGCCGGGUGUGUAAGCGCAGCGAUGCGUUGAGCUAACCGGUACUAAUGAACCGUGAGGCUUAACCUU
rnacentral:rRNA from 1 species